rnacentral:rRNA from 1 species
UUUAAUUCGAUGCAACGCGAAGAACCUUACCUGGUCUUGACAUCCACGGAAGUUUUCAGAGAUGAGAAUGUGCCUUCGGGAACCGUGAGACAGGUGCUGCAUGGCUGUCGUCAGCUCGUGUUGUGAAAUGUUGGGUUAAGUCCCGCAACGAGCGCAACCCUUAUCCUUUGUUGCCAGCGGUCCGGCCGGGAACUCAAAGGAGUCUGCCAGUGAUAAACUGGAGGAAGGUGGGGAUGACGUCAAGUCAUCAUGGCCCUUACGACCAGGGCUACACACGUGCUACAAUGGCGCAUACAAAGAGAAGCGACCUCGCGAGAGCAAGCGGACCUCAUAAAGUGCGUCGUAGUCCGGAUUGGAGUCUGCAACUCGACUCCAUGAAGUCGGAAUCGCUAGUAAUCGUGGAUCAGAAUGCCA